rnacentral:tRNA from 1 species
GGGAUUAUAGUUAAUUAUAACAUUUAGGUUGCAUCUAAAAAAUAUUGAAUGCUCAAUUUUUCUCA